UCUGGUCCACCUCCCACCCGUGUCUAUCGUACCUUGUUGCUUCGGCGGGCCCGCCGUUUCGACGGCCGCCGGGGAGGCCUUGCGCCCCCGGGCCCGCGCCCGCCGAAGACCCCAACAUGAACGCUGUUCUGAAAGUAUGCAGUCUGAGUUGAUUAUCGUAAUCAGUUAAAACUUUCAACAACGGAUCUCUUGGUUCCGGCAUCGAUGAAGAACGCAGCGAAAUGCGAUAAGUAAUGUGAAUUGCAGAAUUCAGUGAAUCAUCGAGUCUUUGAACGCACAUUGCGCCCCCUGGUAUUCCGGGGGGCAUGCCUGUCCGAGCGUCAUUGCUGCCCUCAAGCACGGCUUGUGUGUUGGGCCCCCGUCCCCCUCUCCCGGGGGACGGGCCCGAAAGGCAGCGGCGGCACCGCGUCCGGUCCUCGAGCGUAUGGGGCUUUGUCACCUGCUCUGUAGGCCCGGCCGGCGCCAGCCGACACCCAACUUUAUUUUUCUAAGGUUGACCUCGGAUCAGGUAGGGAUACCCGCU
rnacentral:rRNA from 1 species